AUCGCGAAGCUUCAGUGAACGUUGUUCCAGUUAAAUAAAGCUGUCAAAAUUUGACAGAAGUGCUGAAUAUGUCUGUAUGAAAAAUUAGAUUAAUUGUAAUAUGAGGAAUAUCCUGUUGCUUUGGUGAAUAUAAAUCAACUGAUCGUUUGUUAUAAUAUAUAUGAAAAUCCAUUGAGAUGACAUCAAAGACUGAAAUCACAUUGGAACAUUUUUAUGUCUUCAAUGGCACAUAUGCAAAGAAGGAAGGAGAGGAAGAGAAAAAAAUUCUAUAUUAUUACCCGGUAGUGACGGAUGCUGAUACUCAAAUAAAAAAUAUCGGCCUUGGCGAGGCGAUCAUUAAAUUUACCCAAUCUUUCAACCCAGGACAAGCAUGUGAUUAUUGUCAUACGCACAAAACUCGUCAAAUCUAUUACGAACCUGAACCAGAUUUCUGGAUGGUUAUGAUUGUUGGCGUACCGUAUGUUUGGAAGACCAAAGAUGAUACCGAAUAUAUUGAAUACCAGCAUGAUGAAGUAUCGAGCAGUGUUUGCCAGGCUAUUCUCAAACAGACUUAUGCAAUGUUCAGACUUUUUAUGGGAUCUUUUAAUACCAUCUUGAAUGAUCCUGACUGUGGUUCUGUUACUCUUUUAAAACAUAAGCUGGAUCAUUUCUACUCAAGGUAUCUUCUUUCCUUGAAAUUGAAUAACAGUGACAUUCUGGACGUUUUUCAAGGUCUGCAAUUUCUACCUCUGGAUAAAACUACCUUUCUUCAUGUACAAUGCUUCAUGAAUCUUGUAGAAGCUAUGUUUUCACAAGUAAAAUAUACUGCAUUUCUCUACAAUGAUCAAUUGGUCUGGAGUGGCUUAGAACCCGAAGAUAUGCAGGUCGUUUAUAACUACUUAGUAAGCACACUACUUCCUGCCCAUCUGGAAACAGAAUUACACGGAGGAUCAAUGCCUCGCAAUUCUCCUUCACCAUUCACAAGUUCACAUUAUGGCAAAUUUGUGACCGGUCCAAGCAGCAUCAAUGAGCCCAGUGGAAUAGGGAAAUUACCUAAAGUGUUUAUCAAUUAUUCGUCAAAACCAGUCUCAUUAUAUUUGGUAGUUUAUCGAGCACUGAGUGCGACGUUAUGUUUGUUUGUAGAUAGCAGGACAAGUCUACUUAUGGAUUUUUUUAAAAGCUUGGACACCUUUCUCGGCCCGCAAUUAACUACCUUGGUCAGUUUGGUAGCGGAACAAUGCUCGAAGCAUGUAUCGUUCGCUGCUGAAUCGUGUCCAAAAUAUUUAUAUUUCAACAAACUGAAUUUAGCCUACAAGAGUACGAUUCAUUUGGAUAAUAGAAGAUGUUCUAAUGUACUUACGACACCGGAGGUACUGCGGAUAAUAACAGACAUAAACAACGACACCAAGAGAUUAAAAGAAGCUGGAGAAAUCGUCAUAAAAACUAUGAGCGAAUACUGGGUCGUUGGAAAACUCUCUAAUUUAAGAGAAUUUUUUGUUGUCAUACAACAAAAGAAUGCUAGUUUGAUUGAAAUUGAUGAUGAGGUGAGAAGACUUUGCGAUCAACAGUUGAAAAGUAUUUUUUUUCAUUAAUACCUCCUAAAAAUGUAACAUCGCUUAUUCGAACAAGUAUUAAGAGAAGAAUCAAACUGCAAUAAUCAGUGAAAAAUUGGACGUCCAAACAAGCAUCCAAUUAUGCGAAUUACUCAUGAUAAUUCAGUUGUCAGGUAAGGAUUUGAACAUUUCAUCUGUACCGUACAGCAACGUGUAUUAUACUAGAUAACAAGAAAAGACUUCGAAGAAUAAUAAUAUUUAAUGUACAACGCAAUAAAUCUACAUCAACUUUACAUACAUACCCAUUGUUAUCAGAUAAGAAACAAUUCUGAACACAUUCGAAUAUUGAUUGAGAUAAAUAAUCAAGAGGAGUUGUAAAUAUUAUUUGACAGGUUGGAAAAUAGGGAGCACUUUAGAGUUUAAAAAUUGUAUAUUCAUUUGAAAUAUAAGAUGCAAAAGUUUUGUGUUUGCGAAUUGA
rnacentral:misc_RNA from 1 species